rnacentral:rRNA from 1 species
AGCAGCCGCGGUAAUUCCAGCUCCAAUAGCGUAUACUAAAGUUGUUGCAGUUAAAAAGCUCGUAGUUGAAUUUCGGAAUUUGUCGGUUGGUCGGGCUUCACUGUCCGCACUGACCUGAUGGAUUCCUACCUUCUGAAUAACCAGCAUGCUAUUAAUUUAGUGCGUUGGGGAAGCAGAGCUAUUACCUUGAAAAAUUAGAGUGCUUAAAGCAGGCUUGUGCUUGAAUAGAUUAGCAUGGAAUAAUAAAAUAGGACGGCAUGGUUCUAUUUUGUUGGCUUCUAGGAUCACCGUAAUGAUUAAUAGGGAUAGUUGGGGGCAUUAGUAUUCAAUUGUCAGAGGUGAAAUUCUUGGAUUUAUUGAAGACUAACUUCUGCGAAAGCAUUUGCCAAGGAUGUUUUCAUUAAUCAAGAACGAAAGUUAGGGGAUCGAAGACGAUCAGAUACCGUCGUAGUUUUAACCAUAAACUAUGCCGACUAGGGAUCGGACGAUUGUUAAUUUUUAAUGACUCGUUCC